rnacentral:rRNA from 1 species
AUUGAACGCUGGCGGCAGGCCUAACACAUGCAAGUCGAGCGGCAGCGGGAAAGUAGCUUGCUACUUUUGCCGGCGAGCGGCGGACGGGUGAGUAAUGCCUGGGAAAUUGCCCAGUCGAGGGGGAUAACAGUUGGAAACGACUGCUAAUACCGCAUCCGCCCUACGGGGGAAAGCAGGGGACCUUCGGGCCUUGCGCGAUUGGAUAUGCCCAGGUGGGAUUAGCUAGUUGGUGAGGUAAUGGCUCACCAAGGCGACGAUCCCUAGCUGGUCUGAGAGGAUGAUCAGCCACACUGGAACUGAGACACGGUCCAGACUCCUACGGGAGGCAGCAGUGGGGAAUAUUGCACAAUGGGGGAAACCCUGAUGCAGCCAUGCCGCGUGUGUGAAGAAGGCCUUCGGGUUGUAAAGCACUUUCAGCGAGGAGGAAAGGUCAGUAGCUAAUACCUGCUGGCUGUGACGUUACUCGCAGAAGAAGCACCGGCUAACUCCGUGCCAGCCGCCGCAGUAAGAC